GAGAAUCAAAAGGCUGUGGUUCAGACGAAAAGAAACGACUGCCUGUUCACAUGAGACUAGGACUACCAAUUAAGCCUUCUUUGCUCACAGGAUGUUCCUCGCGAUCUGACAAUGAACAGUUAAAGUGUUCAGAAAACAAGUCAAAGAAAAAAGAUAAAGUGGAACGUACAGAGAGUAGAAUGAAUUGGCAUAGAAAAAAUGAUAAACAAUAUUCAUUGAAUAACCCACAGAAGAGAUUACCUGUCCAUCAACGUCUCAGCCAGAAGAAACCUUCAGAGACCAUUGAUAGAAAGAGAUCCAGACAUUGAUGAAAACUGAACAAGAUGUCAGGAAGACGGUGUCGAGAGAAAGCAGCGGUGGACAGUUCAGAAAGAAGAGAGACAUGAGCUUGGUAUAUUCUGUGAAGAUGUACGAAGAAGGCUUAGUUUAGUUAAAUAAAUAAUGUUUAACUACAUGUAUUCUAUUAAUUCUUGUACAGUUUCUUUGUUAUUGUAACAAGUUUUAUCAUUUUCAUAAAUCUUUGACAAGAUAUUUCUUUAUAUUAAUGGAUAAUGAAUUAAGUAAAGCUCACAAUAUAAGCAUAUAGUGUUUUGUAAUACUUUAUACAAAACGUAUUUCCUGUUUACUAUAUAAAUUCUAAAAGAACUGGUACAGUCUGUCUGUUUAAUAUCUAACAGACAACUGCCAUGUAAAGAGUAAGGGAAUAAUACAACAAACUAUAAAAUAAUUAUUAUCUAACAGACAACUGCCAUGUAAGAGGGAGGGAAUAAUACAACAAACUAUAAAAUAAUUAUUAUCUAACAGACAACUGCCAUGUAAGAGGGAGGGAAUAAUACAACAAACUAUAAAAUAAUUAUUAUCUAACAGACAACUAUCAUGCAAGAGUAAGGGAAUAAUACAACAAACUAUAAAAUAAUUAUUAUCUAACAGACAACUACCAUGUAAAGAGUAAGGGAAUAAUACAACAAACUAUAAAAUAAUUAUUAUCUAACAGACAACUAUCAUGCAAGAGUAAGGGAAUAAUACAACAAACUAUAAAAUAAUUAUUACUUGUUCUACUCAAGAAGGUAGGCUUCUAUUACCACAAUUGAAAAGAAAAGAUCACAGAAUACUACAAAGAAUAUUUUGUUACUUACACUCAUUAUGAAAUAUCACCCUAAGGAAGGUAUGUGCCAGAAAAAAACACGUGUUUUUGUUGUUGUUUUUUAUUCUACGCCAAGAAAUUUUCCUUUUUUUUUCCAUUAAAUAAUAUUGUUAAAUUGAAAAACAAUCAUGGUUUUAAAAUGAUAAUUUUUAACAGUUCUGUGUUAUUCUCUACAGGGACAUAUUUGUAUAUUAAACGAAACAGUAGAUAGUUCUCUAAAUAUUAAUAGUUGUUUCAUAACUUGUUUAUCAUCAUAUUUCUCCUGUAGAUAUUGUUAAUGCUGGGAAGCUUUCUUUGUCUUACUUCAAGAAAACAUUUAAUAAAUUGUGCUGAUAGUUACCAUCUUGGGUUUUGUCACAUUGUGUUCUGGUUUUACAGCUUAAGUUAUUACAGGAUUGUAAUAGUCGGGAGAUAAUUUAAAGAAUCCUGAAAAAUGUUAGCUAAAUCGCUAAUAAAUUACUGGAAAAAAAUAUAUAAUGGAUUUAAUACAGAAACUAUGUUCUCUUUGUUACUUUGUUAUUUAAUUUAGAAAUAAUAUUUGUCACUUGUAUGAGAUUAAAACUAAAAUUAGGUCAUCUCAACAAAUAUGGACAAACUAAAGAGAGCGACAGACUGUGACAGUGAAUAAUUUUAAAUUGAUUCCUGUAGAUCAUUUGAAGAGACCGUGAAUUAUAUGCGUGUUGGUUAAACGAAUUACCCAACUUUAUAUUUGAAAAUCAUUGUCAUAUAUGUCAUCGUGAUUUAAGCAAAUUACAGUUUGUAUGCACAUUUGUGUAAUGUAGAAGUUAAAUAAAUCGUUCAAUCUUCCA
rnacentral:lncRNA from 1 species